UACGUAGGGGGCGAGCGUUGUCCGGAAUCAUUGGGCGUAAAGCGCGUGUAGGCGGCCCGGUAAGUCCGCUGUGAAAGUCCAGGGCUCAACCCUGGGAUGCCGGUGGAUACUGUCGGGCUCGAGUCCGGAAGAGGCGAGUGGAAUUCCCGGUGUAGCGGUGAAAUGCGCAGAUAUCAGGAGGAACACCAAUGGCGAAGGCGGCUCUCUGGAACGCAACUGACGCUGAGACGCGAAAGCGUGGGGAGCAAACAGG
rnacentral:rRNA from 1 species